rnacentral:tRNA from 1 species
CCUCGCGCGGCUGGCGCAGGGCGCGACCGCGGCACUGAUGGUGCCGCAGGUCUUGGCGACGCUGCAUCUGCUGUUCGCCGACGGCGCGCGGGCGC